AACGAACGCUGGCGGCAGGCUUAACACAUGCAAGUCGAACGCCCCGCAAGGGGAGUGGCAGACGGGUGAGUAACGCGUGGGAACAUACCCUUUUCUACGGAAUAGCUCUGGGAAACUGGAAUUAAUACCGUAUACGCCCUACGGGGGAAAGAUUUAUCGGGGAAGGAUUGGCCCGCGUUGGAUUAGCUAGUUGGUGGGGUAAAGGCCUACCAAGGCGACGAUCCAUAGCUGGUCUGAGAGGAUGAUCAGCCACAUUGGGACUGAGACACGGCCCAAACUCCUACGGGAGGCAGCAGUGGGGAAUAUUGGACAAUGGGCGCAAGCCUGAUCCAGCCAUGCCGCGUGAGUGAUGAAGGCCUUAGGGUUGUAAAGAUCUUUCGUGGGGGAAGAUAAUGACUGUACCCCAAGAAGAAGCCCCGGCUAACUCCGUGCCAGCCGCCGCGGUAACAC
rnacentral:rRNA from 1 species